GCUGGGGAAAAUAUAAGUAUAAAUGUAUGUAACACCUAAACUGUGCAAUUUUAGACACAUUUUGUAAUGUUGUAUGUGCACUUUGGGUUUUUUUGGUGGGUUUUGUUUUGAUUUUAUUUAAGAAGGGAGAUCUUUGUGUCUUUGUGAUUUUAUUUAAGAAGGCAGAUCUUUGUGUCUUUGAAUCUCCCUUUUGUAGAACUCUUGGACCUGCGGGCCGACCAGAAUCUGAAGCUCCACCCUUCCGCCCUAAAAAGCGACCCUGCUGAAGCCACUGUCCAUUGCAGCACCACCACAGCACGAUGACGUACAUGGAAACCUCCCAUAGUCAGAACAGCUACUGGCUCCAGUCCAAUACUGCGUUGAACUGCCCACGGAACCGGCAGAACAUUUCCUGGUUCGACUACAAGCUGCCUUUGAUGACUGCAGUGACCUUGCUCGUCCCAACGAUUAACCUGGACACGCAUGCUGCUGCCACCCCCACUUCACAUCGUGGACAGGAUGACCAAAUGGGACACUGGGUACGAGAUUGCCCCAACAGAAGAAGAGGAAGAGGAAAAAGAGGAAGAGCGAGAAAUGGUGUGAUGUGUGCUUCUGCUGUGGCCGAAGCGGACAUUGGCCGAGAAUUUGGCGUUCCUGGUGGUGAGAGACGUGGACACAGAGGAGGACACGUCCACCAUGGACAACCCCAAUUGGGCUGAAAAGGUGAAGCGGGGUGGAGCUCCAGACGAAGGCGCGGCCGCAGUCCUGGAGGAAGUUUCAAAUAAGGUCAUGCAUACCUACACUGACACUCACGUUCAAUACAAAAACAUACAAACAUUCCACACUCCCCAAUACACACUGAUACACGCUUACACUCCCUGCACAUUCCACACAUCCUGCUUCCUCUGAGAAGGGAAUUUUUUUUCUUUCCUCAUUGUUGAUUGUAGUGCAGCCAUGUGAAGCACAGUGGAAGAUAUAUUUACCCAAAGUAAAAAAGGAGGCUUCGCGUUUAUAUUGUGCUGCAAUUGUGGGUUUUAUUUUAUUGUGUUACCCCAGCCACAGCAUUUUAAUGUCCAAUGGUACGCUGUAUUAUUUUUUUUCUUGAUUUAAAUGAUAGCAUUGAGAUGACAACAUAGUCCUGGUUAUGACUUGCGCUGUGCCCUUUUUGUUUCCUUGAACCCACACUCACCACCAAGCUGGAGCAUCUGGGACUCAGCUCAUCUUUCUGUCAGUGGAUCUCCAACUUCUUAACUGGGAGACCACAGACAGUAAGGAUGGGCGGACAUGUCUCAGCCUCCAUCACUCUCAGCACUGGAGCCCUGGUACAAGAGGAACAAUCUCCACCUGAACGUCAGCAAGACAAAGGAGUUAAUUCUGCACUUCAGUACCAAGCAGGAGAGGACCUACCAGACCCGUCAUCAGCAGGAGCCCAGUGGACAUAGUGGACAGCUUCCGUUACCUCGGUGUUAACAUCACGCAGGACCUGUCAUGGUCCUGUCACAUCAACACCGUGGUGAAAAAGGCCCGGCAGCGUCUCUACCAACUCAGACGCCUGAGAGACUUCAGACUGCCCUCCAAGGUGCUCAGGAACUUCUACUCCUGCACCAUAGAGAGCAUCCUGACGGGAAACAUCUCAACCUGGUUUGGGAACUGCACCAUGAAGGACAGGCGAGCCCUACAGAGGAUGGUUCCAUUAGCUGAACGCAUCAUCUGUACCAAGCUCCCUGACCUUCAAUCAAUCUACAGCAAGCGGUGCUGGACAAGGCCAGGAAGAUAGUGAAGGACCUCAGCCACCCCAACAAUGGGCUGUUCUCUCUGCUGCGGUCAAGGAAGUCCAACACAGAGAGAAUGAGGAGGAGCUUCUUCCCGCAGGUCAUAUGAGCUCUCAACAACCACAACACUUCAUAGAACUCCAAUACACUCCAGCACUUUCACUCUCAAUCACUUCUAGACUCAAUCCCCACAGUAUUUUUGCGCAAACUCUUUAAACUUUACUCUUUUUUUAAUCUUGCACAAAUGUUUUACUUUUUCACGUUAUUCCUUGCUGUUACACAUAUUUUAUGUUUUAUGCUAAAGACAUAAAAGUGUAAUAUUUGGUUAUGUUUGCAAUAUUUGCAUAUUGGUUCAUUGUAAACUUGCAAUAUUUGCAAUACUGUGGUCUGUAGCAGUCGCCAAAGCAUUUCACUGCAUAUCAUACCGUGUAUGACUGUGUAUGUGACAAAUAAAAUUUGAAUUUGAAUUUGAAUGCUCCACAGUCGGUAAAGUUGUGUGGGAUGUAUUUUUUGGCAGGGGAUAAAAGUGGUUGCCUUACUGGCUGUUGUUACCUUGCCAUAUCUUGCUACACAUUUGGAUUUCUUGCCUGAUCAUGUGGUGGCUUUGAUGUUCUAUUCAAAGCCAAUGAAUUGAGCAGUAAAGACACCAGGUUCCUAUAUGCUGUUUCAAGUGCACCACGGCCCUAGCGCAAAACCCGUUCAAAUUCAUAUUUGUCUUGUAAAACUACUGACAUUAAACAUGAAUUUGGCAACAUAAUGCAUUAAUCAUGUGCAAAAAUCUGUAUAUUAUCAAGUUAUUUAACAGUAGUUCAUGUUAACUAGUUAUGUUACAUGCUGUCAAACUUAUAGCUGUAGUUAAAGCUACCAGGUGUACAAACAAUAAAAACCAUAAUGUAUUAUUAUUAUUGGUGGACCGUUAUCGGCGUUAACGUGCUGCGUUAACGUGAGACUCUUAUCGGGCGAUAAAAAAAAUAUUGCCGUUAAUAUAUUCACAAAGUUGGGUUGGGAGCUGGGUCUAUACUACGCAAGCUAUUGUGCCGGAGUUAAAUGGUUACACUAGAUUUAUAAGUAUUUAUCUUCUUAUUUUCUAAAGACUUUUAUUUUGUUUGAGACCCGGUUCUGGUCUCUUGGACACAUGGCGUGAGCUGUGAGAGGUCCGUGUGGUUUGUGUGCAAAAAGUUAUUUCUUUCAUUUUAAUUUAUGUACAUAUUAGUAAUAUUUUGCAUGUGUGUUAUUUUGUGAAUAUUUUUUUUAUGUUCUUUUAAUACUGUAUAUUGUAGAGAGAGGUGCAGAAAGACGCGAUGUUCUGACGCGACCUUGCUUUUUGUACAGGAAUGCAGUAUUGUAAAUUGUGAAUGCUUUAUGUUAAUGUUCAGUUCUCUCGGAC
ensembl:lncRNA